AAAACGGAGAGUUUGAUCCUGGCUCAGGAUGAACGCUGGCGGUAUGCUUAACACAUGCAAGUCGAACGGUGUCUUCGGACACAGUGGCGGACGGGUGAGUAACGCGUGAGAAUCUGGCUCUAGGUCUGGGACAACCACUGGAAACG
rnacentral:rRNA from 1 species